UGAUGUUAUUUUCCGAUAUCAGUCGAGCUAGAGUAUUUUUAAAAGUAUCAAGUUCUUGAUACAGAUACUUUUUUAUUUUAUCGACGAAGGGAUGUUUGAAUCGAUAAUCGAUAUUGUUAAACAUUAUCCGUAAUGUAUAAGUUAUUACGAAUUAAAUUUCAUAAUUUUGUCAUAUUAUUUAUUUAUCAAAUAAUCAAGUAGUCUCAAAUACAUCUUAUAUUUAUUGUUAAAUAUUGCCCAUGUACGUUUUAGAAAACGAUGAGAAAAUUUCAAAAGUCUGGUACUAAAAAUAUUUUAAUUUAACUUUACAAUAUUUAAAAGACCUGCAUAUAAAAAAUCAAAAAUUUCAUAUAAAUUUUUUUAUAACUAAAUAAUAUUUUUUUUUUC
rnacentral:lncRNA from 1 species